AUUAAGAAAAUAUAAAAGAAUUAAUAAAAAAGGUAUUUUAAUUUAUUUACAAGUUAAUAGGAAUAAAUUAUUAGUAAUAUGAAUUUGUUAGGAAUUUCCGGAAUUUUAAAAGAGUAACCUAAUCGACCUAGGGUUACUACCUUUUGGAAGGGAGUAUAAAAAGGAAAAGAAGUUGGAAUUUCAGAUAAAAACCCUAAACCCUUUCUUCUCCCUCUCUCCUCAGCCGACAUUCAUCUCUCUCCUUCUCUCUUUUUCGAAUUUUUUCUCUCUCUCAGAAUUUUCUUUCUCUCUCUCGGAUCUCUCUCUCUCGAAUCUCUCUCGCGGGUUCGCUCGCUACUCUUCUUCUUUGGCUUCGUGCAAAAGGGUCCGACGAAGGUACAAGGUUCGAGCGCGCAGGGUGCGCAGGCGUCGAGGGUCGAAAAGUUGCGAGAUUCCGUCGAAGGGGUCGAGUUGUGCGCGAUUUCGUCGAAGGGGUCGAGGUGUGCGCGAGUGUCGAGAGUUCUGUCCGGGAGUCUUGGUGCGAAGGGUGCUGUGGUUCGUGUGAGGCUCGCGAGUGUCGCGCGGUGUGGGCGACGUACGAGCAGCGACGAGAGUCUUGGUGAAGGGUUCGUGUGGUGCGAAUUCUGUCGAGCACAAGGGUGCGAGUCCGCCGGAAUUCUUGUGCGAAAAGUGGGUCGAGUGCUGCGACAAGGGUCGUGGUGUUGAGGGUUUCGUGCGCGUGAGUGGUGUGGUCUUCGGUCGCCGGAAUUCUUUCGCCGGCGAUUUCUAACGGUCCCAAUUUCAUAAGCGGCUCGUUCUAUUAAGUCAGCGAAAAUUCUCCGUUACAAGACUAGGUGAGCUGGUGCUGCUGCAUGACAUCAAGCAUAUGGGGGCUAGACUGUAGUUUGAAGUUAACUUUUGGUUUGAUCAUUAAUGAAUUUUAUAGAACAUUAUUACAUGGUUUGAGUUUGAAUAAAGAGGGGUCAUCUAUGAUUCCCGAGUUGUAAUUACAUUUUCUAUUCCGCUGCAAUUUGGUUUUGAGACAAUGAAUUUGAGUUACCAUAUUUCUAAUUA